AAAUAAUAUUUUUGUUUGAUAAAAAUUUACUUGCAUUUUAUUUUUAUAUAAUAUAUUUUAUAAAUUAUAAAUCCAUUAUUCAUAUAAUUAACUUUAAAAAAACAAUUCGAAUUACGCAACUAUACGUAUAAGUAUACAUAAAAUACUAUUUAAAUAUACCCAUUGUCGAACGAUAAAAGAUAAUGCGAAAGGAUUGAAUCUCGAAGAAUCUUGAUGAUGACUCUGAGAGGAAAGUAUCUCUGUCUGUCCUCCAAACUUUUUAUCAGAAACAUCGAAUUCAUUACGUGAGUUUAAAUCUUCUAUUUCUCGAUGUCUAUUGGUAAUCGUAUCAUCAUCUUGAAGCAUCUUUUCCUGUAUAUUUGGAUCAAAUCUCUUGCCGUGACCACCGAAACAGGAAUGUCCAAAUGCAGAACAACCACCUGUUAAGAUAAUAAAUUAAUAAAUAUUAUUUUUAAUUAAAAUCAUUAAUUAAAAUCAAAAUGGAAAUUUAGAAAAAUAUUAAAACUCUAUGUAUAUAAAAUGUUUAAUAUAAAUGUGUGUAUAUAAGAAA